UACGUAGGGUGCAAGCGUUGUCCGGAAUUAUUGGGCGUAAAGAGCUCGUAGGCGGUUUGUCGCGUCUGCCGUGAAAAGUCCGGGGCUCAACUCCGGAUCUGCGGUGGGUACGGGCAGACUAGAGUGAUGUAGGGGAGACUGGAAUUCCUGGUGUAGCGGUGAAAUGCGCAGAUAUCAGGAGGAACACCGAGUGCGAAGGCAGGUCUCUGGCGAUUACUGACGCUGAGGAGCGAAAGACAUGGGGAGCGAACAGG
rnacentral:rRNA from 1 species